GAAGUCGUUACUCCAACCCUUGUGGAGGAGGACGCCGAAGGUGGGGCUAAUGACUGGGGUGAAGUCGUAACAAGGUAGCCGUACCGGAAGGUGCGGCUGGAUCACCUCCUAACAGGGAGACAACAAAAUGUAAAUAUUAAUUUUGUCACCUUAGGUCGAUCGGUAUCUCAGAUUCUUAUUUUUAAGAAUUUCAGUUUCUAAGUUUUUUCUAGGUCACACCCAUCAUUUUUUUUCCUGGGCCAUUAGCUCAGGUGGUUAGAGCGCACCCCUGAUAAGGGUGAGGUCCCCGGUUCAAGUCCAGGAUGGCCCAUAUCUCUAUGUUGGGGGGUAUAGCUCAGUUGGUAGAGCGCCUGCUUUGCAAGCAGGAUGUCAGCGGUUCGAGUCCGCUUACCUCCACUGAAUACCACCUCUUACAUAUUUUAAAAGGGGAGAAUUAUUUUGAGUCGUGUCCUUAUUUGCUCUGAGCGAAUCUAGCUUCCUAUUUUAUACAAUAAAUAAGAUGCUGGACUCAUUGAAUUUUAUUCAUUGUUUUCAGAGAACCUUGACAACUGCAUAGAUUAUUUUUGAAGACAAUAAGCAUCUUUAAUGAUGCAGAUUUAUUAUUUGUGCGAAUGCAUUAAAUAACAAUUCUAUUAAGCUGAUGCUUCAAUUAUUGAAGUUAUUGGUCAAGCUACAAAGG
rnacentral:misc_RNA from 1 species